GGCGCACGGGUGCGUAACACGUAUGCAACCUACCUUACAUUGGGGGAUAGCCUUUCGAAAGGGAGAUUAAUACCGCAUAAGACAGUAACUAGGCAUCUAGUAGCUGUUAAAGAUUUAUCGAUGUAAGCUGGGCAUGCGACCAAUUAGCUAGUUGGUGAGGUAAUGGCUCACCAAGGCUAUGAUUGGUAGGGGAACUGAGAGGUCAAUCCCCCACACUGGCACUGAGAUACGGGCCAGACUCCUACGGGAGGCAGCAGUAGGGAAUAUUGGGCAAUGGACGCAAGUCUGACCCAGCCAUGCCGCGUGCAGGAUGAAGGCGUUAUGCGUUGUAAACUGCUUUUAUACAGGAAGAAACGACUCUUGCGAGAGGCAUUGACGGUACUGUAUGAAUAAGCACCGGCUAACUCCGUGCCAGCAGCCGCGGUAAUACGGAGGGUGCAAGCGUUGUCCGGAUUUAUUGGGUUUAAAGGGUGCGCAGGUGGUUUAUUAAGUCAGUGGUGAAAGACGGUCGCUCAACGAUUGCAGUGCCAUUGAAACUGGUAGACUUGAGUAAAGUAGAGGUGGGCGGAAUUGAUAGUGUAGCGGUGAAAUGCAUAGAUAUUAUCAAGAACUCCAAUUGCGUAGGCAGCUCACUUGG
rnacentral:rRNA from 1 species